GCCAGACUCCUACGGGAGGCAGCAGUGGGGGAUAUUGCACAAUGGGGGGAACCCUGAUGCAGCGACGCCGCGUGGGUGAAGGAGCGUUUCGGCGCGUAAAGCCCUAUCGGCAGGGAAGAAGAUGACGGUACCUGACCAAGAAGCCCCGGCUAACUACGUGCCAGCAGCCGCGGUAAUACGUAGGGGGCAAGCGUUAUCCGGAUUUACUGGGUGUAAAGGGGGCGCAGACGGCAAUGCAAGCCAGGAGUGAAAGCCCGGGGCCCAACCCCGGGACUGCUCUGGAAACUGUACGGCUGGAGUGCAGGAGAGGUAAGUGGAAUUCCUAGUGUAGCGGUGAAAUGCGUAGAUAUUAGGAGGAACACCAGUGGCGAAGGCGGCUUACUGGACUGUAACUUACGUUGAGGCUCGAAAGCGUGGGGAGCAAACAGGAUUAGAUACCCGAGUA
rnacentral:rRNA from 1 species